rnacentral:rRNA from 1 species
UACGUAUGGUGCAAGCGUUAUCCGGAUUUACUGGGUGUAAAGGGUGCGUAGGUGGCAAGGCAAGUCUGAAGUGAAAAUCCGGGGCUCAACCCCGGAACUGCUUUGGAAACUGUUUAGCUGGAGUACAGGAGAGGUAAGUGGAAUUCCUAGUGUAGCGGUGAAAUGCGUAGAUAUUAGGAGGAACACCAGUGGCGAAGGCGAAUUACUGGACUGCUACUGACACUGAGGCACGAAAGCGUGGGGAGCAAACAGG